rnacentral:rRNA from 1 species
CCCUCGCCUCUAGUUGCCAGCAUUCGGUUGGGCACUCUAGAGGGACUGCCGGCGACAAGUCGGAGGAAGUGGGGAUGACGUCAAAUCAUCAUGCCCCUUAUGACCUGGGCUACACACGUGCUACAAUGGGCGGUACAAAGGGCUGCGAACCCGCGAGGGGGAGCGAAUCCCAAAAAAGCCGCUCUCAGUUCGGAUUGCAGGCUGCAACUCGCCUGCAUGAAGCCGGAAUCGCUAGUAAUCGCGGAUCAGCAUGCCGCGGUGAAUACGUUCCCGGGCCUC